ensembl:lincRNA
GGACACAGGCUGUGUCUCAAAAUAAUAAAAAUUUGAAUUAAUUAAUCAAUUAAAAUUAAUACCCCCCCUUUAAGAGUGCAGGGGUCUAUUUGGGCUCACAGUUUGAGGCUAUAAUAUGUCCUGGUGGGGAAGGCAUGGCAGUAGGAAUUUGAAAUAGCUAGUCCCAUAGUAUCCACCAGAGACAGGGAUGAGCACACAGCUCAUCCUCUGCUCCCUUCUUCUUUUUCAGUUAGUCUUUAGCAUCACAGAAGGGUACUCUCUUUGUUUAGGAUGGCUCUUGGUGCUUUGUUGUGUGGCAACCAAGACAAGGUCUUACUUUGUAACCCAGGCUGGCUUGAAACUCCUGCUCCUGCCUCCUAUGAUAACCUUCUUGAGCCACUAGCUCUAGCUGCCAUUCUAAACUCUUAAGAGUGACCUUUGUUUUUAAGAGUGACCUUUGUGACAUUUCUUCCUUCCCUUGGCUCUUACAAAUUAAGUUUCUUAAAAAGUAAUGUAUUUGGAAGUGAAUAAAGCAUAUGAUGGACAUGGGAAGCCCAGGUCCUGGGUCCCAAUCAAAUCAUUUUUUAAAUUUAAAUUUUAUUUUAUGUGUAUAAAUGUUUUGCCUGCAUCUAUGUCUAUGUACCAUGUGCUUGCCCAGUGACCACAGAGGCCAGAAAAGGACAUUAGAUCUUCAGGGACUGGAAUCAUAGACAGUUAUGUGCUGCCAUGUGGGUACUGGAAGUUGUACACAGGUUCUUUAGAAGAGCAGCCAGUGUUCUGAAGUAUUGAGUCAGCAGAACUUCCCCUUUAAAGGCGAGUAUCAGUCUGUGGCAAAGGAUCACACUAUUCAACCCUUCUAUUGGCCUGAAAAUGGAGCCCUUUCUGUCUCUUGUGCUGUCUCCUAUGGUAGAAUAGCCCAUCAUCACUCCCCACACUUCCUUUGAAUUAGACAGGAUUUUGAUAAAGAGCAGAAAGACUCAGUGCCCUGGAGAGAAAGACCCAUCCCAGAUAAGGUCUGGUUUUCCUCACUGUCUUCUUAUAACCACUUUGAGUCCCACAAAACUAUUCCCUCUUCUGUCCUACACAGAGACUUUCUUUGUUUUGGCAGUGUAGGGACAGAAGCAUGGUUGUGAGAAUACUGGGCAAGUGCCCUGCCAUUGAGUUUCAUUCCAAGAUGCCAAGAUGGAGCUUUGAGACAGAAAAGUCCCCCAUCUUGUCCACAAGACCAGCUGUGAAUAAAUCUAUUUCUUUUAACUGUCUCCGGGAUUUUCAGUCGAGCAGUGAGCAGUAUACAACUUUAGUUUCAGUAACAGAACUAAGUUUCUGGAUUUCCUUUACCCAAGUAAUUUCUUGCCUCACCCCUUACCUGAGCUUCCAUAAUGGCCUCCUAGUUUCCAAAGAACAGAAAACAUAUCUGUAAAACAUUGGCAAAGAAAGGCAAAAAUAACAAAUAAAAUAAAAAGAAAACUGCUAAGGAAGAAAAUCACUUGUUCCUAGUCCUUCAUUAACUUAAAAGUCUAUUCAAGUUAGAGAACUGUCUGAACUUUGAUUCCUCCACAAAAAAGCAAAUGAGCUUUAAAUCAUUAUAAAUGUGAAGGAGCGUCACUGAAUGGCCUUCAUGACAAGGUGAUCACAAGUAACUGCCUUUCCCUUAACAGAAAUAUUUAACACAUACAAUAGAAAUAUAAACAGAGCAAUGAUUUGUAAUGUCUCAAUAUGUUCUUCCUUGCUGAAGGACCGUUCAACUAGCUUUAAUCAGUAGUAAGGGCAAGCAGACAGGAAAAAUAAACCAUG